CAAGUGGGGGGAGGGGGAGAGAGAGAGACUCUCAAGCAGACUUCCCACUGAGUGCGGAGCCCAACACAGAGUUUGAUCCAGCGGCAUCGAGAUCACGAUCUAAGCCGAAACCGAAAGUUAUAUGCUCAACCAAUGGCGUCACCCAGGUACCCCUGAAGUAUAUAUUACUAUCUCCAUUUUACCAAUGGGAAACUAAAGGUUGGGUCACUUGCCCAAGACCACUCUGAGUAAUUGAGGAUCUGAAAUUCCUGUAAGGCCGGACUCCAAAACCUAUGUCCUCCACUACACACAGACAACAGGGACAGCUCACACAGUUUAUCUUGGAUUUGCUGGGACUGCGUUGUCUGGCAGGUCAGGACAGGUGGGAUGGAAGUUUAUACUGUGUCCUAAGGUAGAGAACACCAGCAACCCCCAGAAGAUGGGACUUUUCCUAGAAUGGCCACUAGGGGGAAGUAUGUAUCCCCAAAACAGGAGCCCGGGAAGGGGUGGGGUAGUGCUUCCACUUUGCCUCAAAAAAGCUCUUACUUAGAACUUUUUAGUAGAGUUUAUAACCAGGAUCUUUAAAAAUUAUCACCUCUCCAUUUUGUUUUCUUAAAAAUACUGUUUUGUUUGUUGACAUAAGCAGUGUAAGCCCAUGGGGAAAAAACAUAAGUCACACAGAUACCUGAAGCAAGAACAUCCCAGGCAGAGGGAACAGCCAUUGCAAAGUCUCAACGGUGAAAACAUGCCAUGUACCUUCGAAGGAAUAGCAAAGCCAUCCAGCUACAGGGGAAUGAAUAGGGAGCAAGCAGCAGGGGCCUGGAGGCCAUUGGAAGACUUAGGGCAGAGGAGUGAAGGUUAUGAUUUGGCUUAUUUUUUUAAAGGAACACUCCAGCUGAUGUAUUGAGACUAGACUAUAGGGGUGACUCAGAGCAAAAAGGCUGGAAGAUGAUCAGACGACCACUUCUGUAAUCCAAGAGAGGAAGCUGUUGUGCCUAGUUUCCGCUGGUGUAUCAUGUCCUGGUGUAUGUGACUGUACGGCAAGCUCUGUUCUAGUGUUUUCGAAAAAGAAAGCCUGGAGAAUUGUGGACAUGGGAGCUAUAGCUGGAGCCGUCAGGGAGGAUGAAGCUGAGAGGACGGAUGGCUGUGGCUUGCCCCGUGUGGGUUGGUGUUCGAAACCCCGGCUGGAGCAUGUGUUGAAAUGGGAGAGGAACAAAGGGAGAAUGUGCCCUGGACACCAGAGAGAAGCAGAAUUUCCCAGGAGGGUGUGGUCCCCACGGUCACAUGCAGCCUCCUGGUCAAGGGCAUGAAGGCCUGAAAAGCAUCCCUUUGGAUGUGACAAUCUAGCAGUCCUUAGUAAUGUGGUGAGCACUGCGUCAUCAGGCCAUGGGAACAGAAACCAGUUCCAGAAAUCGAGAGGAAAGUAGGUGGUGAAGAAGAGUUGAAGAGUACCAGUGCAGACAUCUCUUUGAGAACCUGCCUGAGAAGGGACAGAGGGAGAGCGUGCUCAUUGAAGGGGCUCACAGAGGGAAAGGAGGAAUGUUUUGUAUUGUGUCAGUUUAAGUAGAGAGACUUCAGUGUGGUGAGGUUGAGAGAGGGAGAGGCUCUCCCUCAGGAUGGAACGAAGUACCUGAGUAGACUGGAGGGUGGGACUGG